rnacentral:rRNA from 1 species
AAUGGGGGCAACCCUGAUCCAGCCAUGCCGCGUGAGUGAAGAAGGCCCUAGGGUCGUAAAACUCUUUCGCCUGUGAUGAUAAUGACAGUAGCAGGUAAAGAAACCCCGGCUAACUCCGUGCCAGCAGCCGCGGUAAUACGGAGGGGGUUAGCGUUGUUCGGAAUUACUGGGCGUAAAGCGCACGUAGGCUGAUUAGAAAGUUAGAGGUGAAAUCCCGGGGCUCAACCCCGGAACUGCCUUUAAAACUACUAGUCUAGAGUUCGAGAGAGGUGAGUGGAAUUCCGAGUGUAGAGGUGAAAUUCGUAGAUAUUCGGAGGAACACCAGUGGCGAAGGCGGCUCACUGGCUCGAUACUGACGCUGAGGUGCGAAAGUGUGGGGAGCAAACAGGAUU